AGAUGUCAUCUUGAUCUAAUCGGAACAAUUUAGUCUAGUUGAGGGGAAGGAGCCAGCACUUACUAAGUGAUGACUAAGGCAGGCCGGGGCCUACGCUUGGUGUUAUACACAUUUACAAGCAACAAUAUGUUUGGGCAAUCUAAAAAUUAUUUAUGCAACAAGCAAUCACCUCUGGAGGGAAAAGGAAAAGGAACACAGUACCCUCUCUUGUUUUGGGCCAAGUGUGGACUAAACCAGCUAAUAUUAACAAAUACUGAGGUGUUUGAAAAUGAUUACUAGAAAACCAGAAAUUUUUAACAGAAAUUGUUGAAAACCCAAGGAAUGUUAAGAAAGAUAAAUCGGACAGGAAAUAAACCGGUAUUUUCUGGCUCCUUUUCAUAACAACAGUGAUAGGGUCAGCUAAGUUAUAGCAAGAGGGGAUGAAUUUGAUCAUCCCCACCCCACCUGUAUAGAGAGAAGAAGUCUCCAUUCUUAAUCUAGAAACUCUUAAAAGGAGCUGCCACCCCCACAUCUUUCCAGAUUGCUGGGCAGGGCUCUCUUUUUCCAGCUUUUUACCCACAAAUUGUGAUGGCCAAACACCCUCACCCUCAUUUUUUACACUCUUAGCAAAGAGAUAUGAAUGCAAACAGCUACUCAGGUUUGAGACCAAUCUUCUCAAGAAACCAUUUCUACACAAGCCCUAAGUGAAGAGAAGAAACUCAACCAAAGUCUACCUGCUGCUUUCCAGUUCUUCUACUUGUUAUUUUUUAUGUCAACAGUAAAUAAUUUAAAAUGAUUAACAUGGAUUCCUUGGAAUCCUGCAGCCAUGUGAACAGUUAAAAGAAAAUUUUAAAGGACUAUUAGCUUACCUGGAACCAAACCAUGACUAACCUGCAGGGUAUUUACUAUUUUUGGCCUGUUUAUAAACUUCAAGUACUUCCGUGAACAAAGAAAGGAUGGUAAACCUGUCUCAAUCAGCCACAAACACAUUUAAUUCCAAGUAUCAGAAUUGUGUCAAUAACAAUUGUGUAUGGGUCCUGGGAGGACAAAAGCCACGGAGAGGUAAUGUCCACUCCUCAGAGUUUCAGAGAGAUGGAGUGGGGAGGUGGCCUGUUGGAGUUGGCUGUCAAGGCUAAGAUCUGGGGAGGUGGUAGGCAGUUGUGUCGUGUCCUGUUUCAAGACAAGGCUCUGAAACCCCCGUAAGAAGAAAUCACUGAAAAUGCAAACACUGAGCAGCCACAUCACAGUCCAGGAGGUGCCGCUUCCACAUUUUGUGCUGCUACAUGUAUGCCGUGCUCUACAUGGGUCACAGGGGGAUUCUGCCUUGGAAGCAAAGCAACAGUAAAGAGUGCUCAAUCAAUUGGUGAAUAUUGAUGGAAGGAGGAGGCUUCGAAUUCCUCUGGCUUAUUUGAAAGCCACUUGUAACACUUCCCCAGCAGGAGCAAACAAUAAAACACUGAGAAGUACAAAGGUAAUACUUCCCUCACAAGUCAAGAUAGCAAGGAAGGCAUCUGGUACAGAGAAGAACUACCUUUACAAUGAUAGGGCAGUUUACGCCAAGACAGUGAUGGACCUAAGCAUGACCUAUCAGAUUUUGCUUUAAAGAAGAGGAUAGGUUCUCCUUUCUCCUUAAAUCUAUGUUAAUCACUGAAUAACAAAAGAUAAUAAUAUAUUAAAAGCUGGUGAAUGCGGUUGUCCACAAAACUUUUUAAUAAGUAGGUGAAGGCCAAUUUGUGUCUAGCCACAAAUGUACAAAACAAGUGAAUGCUUACUGGCAACUGUUAAUUUUUUAGAAAUAAAAGGCUAAAAAAUAAAAACAAAGGAAAAAGGG
ensembl:lncRNA novel transcript, antisense to WDR91